rnacentral:lncRNA from 1 species
AGAACCCCCUACCUUCUCAGGCCUCCGAGACUCAGCAUUCAUUGCCAUCCCUUGCCUGAGCCGUGCCUCUUCUCUUUCUCUCUCUCUCUCUUCGGAUUCCGACGAAACUCUCGUUGUAUUCAUUCGCCGGAAUCCCGAAAAUGGAGAUGCGAAAGAUAACAUGCGCUGCCCUCAUUGUGGCCGCCGCCACUCUGAGCGUCGCCACCGCCCAUGGGCAUGAGGCCCCGGCACCCGCCCCUGCCAUGCACAACGAUGCCGCCCCCAUCGCCACCUCUCUCAUCGGAGCCUCUCUCCUCUCUCUCCUCGCUUUCCUUAUGAACUAGGAAAAUUCCUCUAGAGAGGAAAAAAUAAAGAGACAAAUGAAACUUUUGGUAGAGUUUGAAGAACCUCUAGAGAGGGAAGAUAAUGAAACAAGGGUUUCUUUUGUUGAGUUUUAAUGCCCUCUAGAAAGGGGACAUAAGGUAGAUGGGCUUUUGGAAGCCUUGGAGAAAAGGGAAUCAUGGUGGAUUAUUACGGUGAGAUGGCCUUUUAUUUAUUUCCUUUGUUUUUGUUGUUUUUUUUUUUUUUUUUUUGGGUGGUGGCAUUCUUGAGUUUGUUGUUUUGUUAUUGUUUUCAUUUUUUGGUGGGUGAAAAUGGAGGGGCAGUACAAGUUUGAUGUGGAAGGUGUGGGUGUGAGGGAUGUGAAUGCAAUAAUGAAACUCUGAUUGUAACCUUAAUAUUAUUUUAAUUAUUUCUCGGAAUGUUUAUGUUGCUUAAACUUUCCUCCGGAUUGCUCUGUUUUUUGUUUGGAAAAUGGAAGAAAUUAAAUCUUCCAAGUAGAAAUGCUCAUUAUUUUGGGAGAAAUAUCUAAGGUUUUUUUUUUUUAGCUAAAUGAGGCGUUCGCGCUAACCGUUGUUUGUUGCUUUAUAAUUGAUUUCUCUUUCCCUAUAAUGUGGUCUACAUAGACUGUAGGAGGUUAUCACGGUCCCAUCAAUGUGUUUUACCGUGAUGGAGGGAUUUAGUCCUGCCCAAAAAAUCAUCUAUUCCAUUAUCUCCUUGCAUCUGUGUCGAAUACAUUUGAUCCACACUGAUAAACCGGAGGUGAUUGUUGUUAAUUUGUUAGGGAAAGUAUAUAAUAAGACCAUUUUUUUUUGAUAUAAGGUGGUCACAAUUGAUCACGACUACUGGAUGUGAUAUUGUAUAGUUGCAGUUAUUUUAUUGAUCAAGCUCAAAAUUCAAAAGAAAUUUUUUCGAACUUUAUAACACAUCCAAGCUAUCAGAUUUUAUAUUGGAUAUAUCGGAUAGUUAUAAGUAAUUGUGACCUUCACGUAUGAAAGAUAAAUAGUUUCAUUAUAUACAAUACCAACUCAUUAUAACGUUUGUGGCUUUAAUUGGAAGAAUGUUAAGCUAAGGAUUUCAUCGAAAUAUUUUUCUAUAUAAAUACAAGAAAUAGAUAUGUGAACUGGUCAAGGUCAAGGACAACAACUUUUUGUGGAAUCGGUCAGAACAUUGAAAUCUUCAAUAAAUAAAGAAAAUAGAAGAUCGGUUUGGUGGAUAAUUUUACGGUCUUUAAAUAAAGUAAAUACUAGAUUUUUUAGAACAAUGUAAGUGUUAGAGAUUUCAUAAUAAAAUAAGUAAUGAUCUUAUGAGACUCUCCCAUACCCAUAUGUAUAGGAUUUCAAAAGAUCACCUUUAAAUUAGAUACGGAUCUCUAAAAAAAAGGUUAUUACAUGAGUGUGAGACUUGUUUUUUUUAAAGAUAUGUAUAAAAUUUAAUGGUGAUCCUUUAAGGUCCAAUAUACAUAAAUGUGGAAGAAUUAUUACUCAUAAAAUAUUAUAUAUACAUGACAUAUGAGAAUGUCUCCCCGAAGAUAAACGCCACAAAAUGUUUAGUUGUUGAGCUGGCAGGUGUUAUUGAUCUUAGAAAAAUCUGUCAAAAUACUUGUAGAAGAUGGGUGUUAUUGAUCUUAGAAAAAUCUGUCAAAAUACCUGUAGAAGAUGAACUAUCCAAUGUCAUACUCAAUUGCAACUAUUCUUAACUCAAGAUCAUGUUUUUCUAUAAACAUUUUGAAAUAAAAAACCGAGAUAAUAUUUCAAAAGGAAAAAACGAACCUGCAUAGGGGAUGUACUUCUACAAUGGUUCCCUGCCACACCUAAACAUCCAUAUUGGAGAUGGAUGUCAUUAGUGGUGGCCCCACAUAAAUUCAUGAUUAAACAUGUUAAAACGGCAUUAAAAAAAUAUUAUUUUUAUUUUUAAAUUAUUUUUUUUCAAUUUGAUAUUAAUCAUAAAUUAGAUUUUCACUUAAAAAUUGUAUAUCUAUAAUGUAUCUUUAAAAUAGAUUUUGGACUCAUUUAAAUAGUUGAGGGCAGUGACUCUUGGGUAGCAAUGGACCCAGACCCGAGGUGUAAACCCGAUUCAGGUCUAGGCAUGAGGUCCAAAAAUUGGACCCAGACCCGAGGCGUAAACCUGAUUCAGGUCUAGGCAUGGGGUCCAAAAAUUGGACCCGACAAGCUGGGUCCCGAUCUAAUUCUUAGACCCAAAUACUAUUUGGGUUUAGGUCUGAAUCUGAUAAUAUUUUUCACGUCUCAAUAUAUGAAAUAUAUCUAUAGUUAAAUAUAUGAAUAUUCUAAUUUUUAGGUCAGUUUUUUAUGUAGUUUAGAUCCACUCUAUAUUUUCGGAUAUGAGUUCAGAUCUUGAUCCAAGUCCCCCAUUAUUUUUCGAGUCCGAUUUGGAUGGGCCCAAACCCUGAACCGACCCGACCCGACCCGACCCGACCAAUCGCCAUCCCUAUCCCUGCAAGACAUUGCCCACCUCGAAAACCAGUGAAAAUUCGGCGCCUUAUAGCUCCAAUGAGAAAAAGCCACUUAGCGCCACGUAAUAGACACGUGUCGAUUGAACCGAGCGUCUCCAACGGUAUAUGUGAACUUCACUCGGAGAAGGUGAAAGCAGUCCCUCUCUCUAAACCUGGGUUUUCAGUUCAGCGGAAACUCUCUCAAUUAUCACUGGUAUUGUCGUAGGGCCUCUCUCUCUCUCUAAGGUAUUGAGCUAUGGCGUUUGAGAAGCCUUACGUUUUGGCUGCUCUUGUUGUAAUGGUGGCAUUCGGCAUGGGAAUGGCGAAGGCAGAGGAGGAAGCCAUGGCCCCUUCUCCGGCCAUGGAGAGCGGAUCGGCGUUCAUUUUGCCUGCCCUUGUCGCUUCUUUUUGUGCUUCGUUCCUCUCGCUCUUUACUGUCUUCUCUCACUAGACCUACUUUCACCGGUGGAUUUGUGUUUCAUUCAUGUGAGUUCCGGAUUUUUAUGUAAUAUGAGUUAUAUCAUGAAUAUGUCUUAGGUUUUCUUCUGUUGGAUAUCAUCAUAUCACUUUUUUGUGGCUUUUUUUUCACUAUUUGAGAUCGGCUCAUUUUUUUUGUUGCUGUGUAUUUAUUAUUUUUGAUUUUAUGAG